rnacentral:rRNA from 1 species
GGGCCCGCACAAGCGGUGGAGCAUGUGGUUUAAUUCGAUGAUACGCGAGGAACCUUACCAGGGCUUAAAUGGGAAAUGACAGGGGCAGAGACGCCCCCUUCUUCGGACUCAUUACAAGGUGCUGCAUGGUUGUCGUCAGCUCGUGCCGUGAGGUGUCAGGUUAAGUCCUAUAACGAGCGCAACCCCUAUCGUUAGUUGCCAGCGAGUAAUGUCGGGAACUCUAACGAAACUGCCAGUGCAAACUGUGAGGAAGGUGGGGAUGACGUCAAAUCAUCACGGCCCUUACGUCCUGGGCUACACACGUGCUACAAUGGCCGGUACAGAGAGCAGCCACUUCGCAAGAAGGAGCGGAUCUUCAAAGCCGGUCUCAGUUCGGAUCGCAGUCUGCAACUCGACUGCGUG